rnacentral:rRNA from 1 species
UACGCAGGGCGCAAGCGUUAUCCGGAAUUAUUGGGCGUAAAGAGCUCGUAGGCGGUUUGUCGCGUCUGCCGUGAAAGUCCGGGGCUCAACUCCGGAUCUGCGGUGGGUACGGGCAGACUAGAGUGAUGUAGGGGAGACUGGAAUUCCUGGUGUAGCGGUGAAAUGCGCAGAUAUCAGGAGGAACACCGGUGGCGAAGGCGGGUCUCUGGGCAGUAACUGACGCUGAGGAGCGAAAGCGUGGGGAGCGAACAGG